CAACAACUAUACUUUGAUGAGACAACUCAGUAGAAUAUGUGAUCCCAAUGAUCACCUUUCAAAAAACACUUGUCCUCCCGGCCAAAAUAUAUUGGACAGCCCCCCCGGUGUUUGAAUGCUGGAAUAACAUUCGUCGAGCCAGCUGCAGGGCGAGAGCGAGGAGGGGAAGAAUGAGGAGACAACUCGAGUGCACCUCGUGGCUCAGCAUCAUCACUUGGCUGACUUGGGUUUAACGUGCCUUCCGAACUUGGCUUGGGAUUUCAACAUGUGAAGCGACUUUGCAGAAGGAGGAACCACCUAGAAUGCCAGCUUUUAAGAAGGUGUUGCCAGCCAUUCUUCAGAAGCAUUGCUGUAUCUUCCCAAACAGGAAUGCAG